UCUUGGAUGUAAAUUAAAUUUAAUUUACCCGAGUACUAUGAAUAUACAAAAUUUAAAACUCAAAGGACUUGGCGGUAUUUUAGACCAUUUAGGGGAACCUGUCUCAUAAUCGAUAGUCCACGUUACACCUAACCUUUUUUUGCUUUCAGCUUGUAUAUCGUUGUCGUCAGGUAACUUUUUAGAAACUAGAAGUUAGCUAAAAAUAUAGUAAGUUUAAACGUCAAAUCAAGGUGCAGUUAAUAAAAAGGCGAGGAUGGGUUACAAUUAUUUACUUAUAAUUACGGAAAAUCAUAAGAAUUGAUGAUUUCUAAGGAGGACUUAAAAGUAAAUUAGAUUAUAUAAAUAAUUUGAAUAAGGCUCUGAAAUGUGCACACAUCGCCCGUCGCUCUUGUUGGAAAAUAAGAUAAGUCGUAACAUAGUAGGGGUAAUGGAAAUUGUCCCUAAAU
rnacentral:rRNA from 1 species